rnacentral:rRNA from 1 species
AUUGAACGCUGGCGGCAGGCCUAACACAUGCAAGUCGAACGGUAGCAGGAAGAAGCUUGCUUCUUUGCUGACGAGUGGCGGACGGGUGAGUAAUGUCUGGGAAACUGCCUGAUGGAGGGGGAUAACUACUGGAAACGGUAGCUAAUACCGCAUAAUGUCGCAAGACCAAAGAGGGGGACCUUCGGGCCUCUUGCCAUCAGAUGUGCCCAGAUGGGAUUAGCUAGUAGGUGGGGUAACGGCUCACCUAGGCGACGAUCCCUAGCUGGUCUGAGAGGAUGACCAGCCACACUGGAACUGAGACACGGUCCAGACUCCUACGGGAGGCAGCAGUGGGGAAUAUUGCACAAUGGGCGCAAGCCUGAUGCAGCCAUGCCGCGUGUAUGAAGAAGGCCUUCGGGUUGUAAAGUACUUUCAGCGGGGAGGAAGGCGAUGUGGUUAAUAACUUCACCGAUUGACGUUACCCGCAGAAGAAGCACCGGCUAACUCCGUGCCAGCCGCCGCAGUAACAC